GUACAGAUGAUGAGCAUUUCAGUAUGACUACCAGAAAUGAUACUGUAAACGCUUUCUGAUGUG
ensembl:snoRNA small nucleolar RNA Z39